rnacentral:tRNA from 1 species
GCCUUUGUAGUUUAUAAAAAAACCUUAGUCUUGUAAACUAAAAUAGAGCUGUCCAAAGGCU